rnacentral:rRNA from 1 species
GACGAACCGUGCGAACGUUGUUCGGAUUCACUGGGCUUAAAGGGCGCGUAGGCGGCUUGUCAAGUCAGGGGUGAAAUCUUUCGGCUCAACCGGAAAAGUGCUUCUGAUACUGGCAGGCUGGAGGGAGGUAGGGGCAGAUGGAACUUCCGGUGGAGCGGUGAAAUGCGUAGAUAUCGGAAGGAAGACCAGUGGCGAAGGCGGGUCUCUGGGCCGAUACUGACGCUGAGGAGCGAAAGCGUGGGGAGCGAACAGG